CAGUUCUGGAGAUUUGAAAGUCCAAGAUCAAGAUGCCAGCUGACUCAGUUUAAUGUGAGGGCUUCCGUCUUCUCUGGCAGACCCCAGCUUUCUUGUUGUUCUUCUCACAUGUUGAGAAACAUCUUUGGUAGAUCUAAUUUCAAAACAAUUCCUGAGGUUCCCAUUGAGAUUUAAUAAUAUUAUAUACACGCAAGAUUUAAGCUAGAAAAAAAUACUUAUUCUUUAAUAAACAAUGUAUUCUAUGUGGAAGUUAAUUCAAGGAAGCCCAGUUAGACAGACCUGCCCUGACUGUGCUGCACAUGGUAACUUUGAGACUGGAACUGUUGGGAGUCAUUCAAGCUCUCUUCAGAUGCUCUUUGUGUCUCCAGUCCCUGUGGUCUUGCAUAUUCUUGCAUUACACCUUUAGAUUUCAAAUAAACAAUGACAGUACAGUGACAUUUACUAUUAUUGAGCUGUGGAUCCUGUUCCGAGGCAACAAAUCUCAGAUGACUCGGGAACCUCCACUUUUGCCUCUCCCCUGGGGCCACAUAUUGCCAGCAACACACUCAAGGCUGUAGUGAGCUGUGAUCACACCACUGAACUCCAGACUGGACAAGAGUAAGACCCCUUUUUGUCCUUUGUUGUUGCUGGUGGCUCAUUGACUCAACUACCAUCACCAGGAGCUUUAGAGAAAAGUUUUUAGUUUUAUCUUCGUAUGGUCCGAAUGAAUGGCAGGAAUGUGCUUCAGUUUAAGAGACAAAACGUCUUUUUCCAAACUGAAUUUUUAUACUCCAGGUUUCUUCCUCAAGUCGACCUCCAUAUCCUUAGUUUAUAACCCAUAAAAUUCCUACUCCGGCCGGGCGCCUUGGUUCACGCCUGUAAUCCCAGCACUUUGGGAGGCCGAGGCAGGGGAUCAUGAGGUAAGGAAAUCGAGACCAUCCUGGCUAACAUGGUGAAAUCUCCGUCUAUACUAAAAAUACAAAC
rnacentral:lncRNA from 10 species